rnacentral:rRNA from 1 species
AUGCUCCGCCUCCGGUGCUGCAUCCUCGCCCGCCUCCGCUCAUCUCCCGCCACCUCUCAGGGCUCCUAUCUCCACCGCGCCAUCUCUGCCGCCGCCGCCGCGCCCGUCAUCUCCCCAAACCCUAGCUUCGCCGUGGACGACUACCUCGUCGAGACCUGCGGCCUCACUCGAGCGCAGGCACUCAAGGCCUCCCCCAAGCUCUCCCACCUCAAAUCCCCCACCAAGCCCGCCGCCGUCCUCUCCUUCCUCGCCGCCCAGGGCUUCUCCAGCUCCGACGUUGCCGCCGUCGUCGCGGGAGACCCCAAGGUACUCUGCUCCAGAGUGGACGGAUACCUUGGCCCCGUCGUCGCCCAGCUCACCGGCCUCGGUCUCUCGCGUUCUCAGAUCGCGCGCCUCAUCUCCUGCUGCCACGGCAACUUACAUCUCACAUCCAUCGUCUCCAAGCUGCAGUACUACAUGCCCCUCUUCGGUUCCAUCGACAACACCCUCCGAGCUCUCAAGGGCCACUUUUACCUUAUCUCGUCUAACCUUGAGAGGGUGGUCAAGCCCAACGUCGCAACCCUGCGGGACUCGGGGCUGGGUGAUUGCGACAUUGCCAAGUUGUGCUUAGCUCAUACACGGCUGCUCACCACCAGUGUAGAAUCCAUCCGGGCAAUCGUGGCAUGCGCUGAAAGUCUUGGUGUGCCCCGUGGAUCUCGGAUGUUCAGGCAUGCGGUGUGUGCUGUUGCAUUCCUCGGCGUGGACAAGAUCGCCGCCAAAGUGGUGUAUUUGAAGAAAACCUUUAGGUGGUCAGAUGCUCAGGUCGGCAUUGCUGUGUCCAAGUUUCCACCCUUGCUGAGGAGGUCUAAGGAUUCUCUGCAGAGGAGGUCAGAGUUCCUCAUCUCUGAGGUGGGGCUGGAACCGACAUACAUUGCUCAUCGUCCGAUGUUGCUCUCUUACAGCCUGGAGGGCCGGCUCAGGCCCCGGUACUAUGUUGUAAAGUUUCUCAAGGAAAACGGAUUUCUAAAUCAUGACCGGGAUUACUAUAAUACACUCAAUAUCAGCGAGAAGACAUUCAUGGAGAAGUUCGUAUGUCCUCAGAAGGAAGCUGCACCCCACCUCGCUGAAGACUAUGCCGGUGCUUGCAGAGGGGAAGUGCCCACUAGAUUCAGAAUUGCAUGA